CCUACGGGAGGCAGCAGUGGGGAAUAUUGGACAAUGGGGGGAACCCUGAUCCAGCGACGCCGCGUGAGGGAAGAAGGAUUUCGGGAUGUAAAGCUCUAUCAGCAGGGAAGAAAGAAAUGACGGUACCUGACUAAGAAGCCCCGGCUAACUACGGGCCAGCAGCCGCGGUAAUACGUAGGAUGCGAGCGUUAUCCGUAUUUAUUGGGUUUAAAGGGUGCGCAGGGGGAAGAUCAAGUACGCGGUAAAAUUGAGGGGCUCAACCUCGUCGAGCCGUUGAAACUGGUUUUCUUGAGUGUGUGAGAAGUAUGCGGAAUGCGUGGUGUAGCGGUGAAAUGCAUAGAUAUCACGCAGAACUCCGAUUGCGAAGGCAGCAUACCGGCGCGCAACUGACGCUCAUGCACGAAAGUGUGGGUAUCGAACAGGAUUAGAUACCCGGGUAGUC
rnacentral:rRNA from 1 species